CGGAUGAACGCUAGCGGCAGGCCUAACACAUGCAAGUCGAGGGGCAUCAUGGUCUUCGGAUCGAUGGCGACCGGCAAACGGGUGAGGAACACGUACGCAACUUACCCUUAUCAUGGGGAUAGCCCGGAGAAAUCCGGAUUAAUACCCGAUAGUAUAAUUUGAAGGCAUCUUUAGAUUAUUAAAGAAAUUCGGAUAAGGAUGGGCGUGCGUAAGAUUAGGUAGUUGGUGGGGUAAAGGCCCACCAAGCCAACGAUCUUUAGCUGAUGUGAGAGCAUGAUCAGCCACACGGGCACUGAGACACGGGUCCGACUCCUACGGGAGGCAGCAGUGAGGAAUAUUGGUCAAUGGACGGAAGGCUGAACCAGCCAAGUAGCGUGCAGGAUGACUGCCUUAUGGGUUGUAAACUGCUUUUUUACGGGAAUAAUUAUGAUCACGUGUGAUUAUUUGCAUGUACCGUAAGAAUAAGGAUCGGCUAACUCCGUG
rnacentral:rRNA from 1 species